rnacentral:rRNA from 1 species
UGGAGCUGAAAUCAGUCGAAGAUACCAGCUGGCUGCAACUGUUUAUUAAAAACACAGCACUGUGCAAACACGAAAGUGGACGUAUACGGUGUGACGCCUGCCCGGUGCCGGAAGGUUAAUUGAUGGGGUUAGCGGUAACGCGAAGCUCUUGAUCGAAGCCCCGGUAAACGGCGGCCGUAACUAUAACGGUCCUAAGGUAGCGAAAUUCCUUGUCGGGUAAGUUCCGACCUGCACGAAUGGCGUAAUGAUGGCCAGGCUGUCUCCACCCGAGACUCAGUGAAAUUGAACUCGCUGUGAAGAUGCAGUGUACCCGCGGCAAGACGGAAAGACCCCGUGAACCUUUACUAUAGCUUGACACUGAACACUGGUCCUUGAUGUGUAGGAUAGGUGGGAGGCUUUGAAGCGUGGACGCCAGUCUGCGUGGAGCCAACCUUGAAAUACCACCCUUUAAUGGCUGGUGUUCUAACGUAGACCCGUAAUCCGGGUUGCGGACAGUGUCUGGUGGGUAGUUUGACUGGGGCGGUCUCCUCCCAAAGAGUAACGGAGGAGCACGAAGGUUAGCUAAUCCUGGUCGGACAUCAGGAGGUUAGUGCAAUGGCAUAAGCUAGCUUGACUGCGAGAGUGACGGCUCGAGCAGGUGCGAAAGCAGGUCAUAGUGAUCCGGUGGUUCUGAAUGGAAGGGCCAUCGCUCAACGGAUAAAAGGUACUCCGGGGAUAACAGGCUGAUACCGCCCAAGAGUUCAUAUCGACGGCGGUGUUUGGCACCUCGAUGUCGGCUCAUCACAUCCUGGGGCUGAAGUAGGUCCCAAGGGUAUGGCUGUUCGCCAUUUAAAGUGGUACGCGAGCUGGGUUUAGAACGUCGUGAGACAGUUCGGUCCCUAUCUGCCGUGGGCGCUGGAGAAUUGAGGGGGGCUGCUCCUAGUACGAGAGGACCGGAGUGGACGCAUCACUGGUGUUCGGGUUGUCAUGCCAAUGGCACUGCCCGGUAGCUAAAUGCGGAAGAGAUAAGUGCUGAAAGCAUCUAAGCACGAAACUUGCCCCGAGAUGAGUUCUCCCUGAGACUUUAAGUCUCCUGAAGGAACGUUGAAGACUACGACGUUGAUAGGUCGGGUGUGUAAGCGCAGCGAUGCGUUGAGCUAACCGAUACUAAUGAACCGUGAGGCUUAACCUU